GCAGAAGCCCAUGGUGAACUUUGAUCUAGAGUUCAUGUAAAUUCUUGAACUGAGCCAGUUGCAUAUCUGCAGAUGAAGAGGCAAAUGAACAUCAUCACCAGCUAGGAGACGGUGGGCGCCACAGGGCACGUAUUUCAUUUCCUUUGAUGAGGAGAGCACCCUCGCUGUCAUCCAUCCACGGCUCGCCGAUCAAAAAGGCUGACAUGGAAGAGCUAUGAAAUUUACCUUCUCGAGGUGUUUUUUUCCAGCAUUCUUGUGACACGAUUUAAAGAAUAGGAUAUGCUGAUAUUUCCAAUGUGAGAGGGACUGCCCUAUUGAUCUUAUGCGGUAGAUGUUGUAUAUCAACAUAAGGAGGAGCUCCUCUUAAAUGCUCAACGGGAGAAGCGGGUGGUUUUCUUGCUGUAGAACUGAGGCCGCUUUUGUUACUAUGCUAGAUUCCAAUGAAUAUCAUCGAAAAUUCAGAUAAUUAUGCGAUGGCAAGCCUUCAAGUAAUAUAUACAGUACACUUAGUAUCAUUAUAAAUUAAGACCAUGAUGUUGUUCAUGUCACUCAGCACCUAGAUCUUCAUGAUAUUAUUGAACUUCAGGUUGAUGCCCUUGAUAAAAAAUACAUCAGUAAAAAACUAGGCCUAUUUAUUAUGUUUUAGGUGUGUAAAUGUUCCCUCUGUUCUUCUUUGUCCUAGCUACAUUUGUCUUGAUAUUGGCAAAUUAAAACUAUUUAGGUGAUGUCAGUCUGUAGAGGUGUGGAUCUGUGUGAGCAGUUAGAUCAGGUAACUAUACUUAUAAAAUUAGUCCAACUCAUUGCCUUUGAAAAGAUUAGCUGGGCCAAGUCCAGACCAUUGCUUUUAAAAAAUUAACGGUUCCCGUUCCACUUUCCAUAAUAUAUGUUUCUUUAUUUAUGGUUGGACAGUUAUUUGAACAAUUAGGCGUUCUUGAUUCUGUCCUGUAUUUUUUUUGUUAUACUGUGUUCAGUUACUUCUGCUAUGUAAGGAGUGGAUAUUGGUGCUAACAAAUAUUCUAAAUGAAUUUGGAUGGAUCUUUUUCCUUGAUUGCUGAGUUAGAUUUGUGCAAUCCUUAUAUUUUUUACAUCAUUUUUCCAGUGUAUUUUUCUUUCUCCAUUAUACAUUUCUUAUAGUGAUUCUUUAUUGACAACAGGAAACGAGAUAGGAUAUGCAAUAAAACUUGAUUAAAAUAUUAAACAUUGUUGAGCAUGAUGAUUAUGGUUGUCUGACUAUUUAGAUACGGUGUAUUCUACAAUGAUGAUUUUGUCUGUCAUCAAGGAUCCGAAGUGGAGGUUUUUGCACUGCAGUUCAGAUCUCUACACUGUCUUCGAGCCCUGUUACAUUUUAAGUAUCAGUUUGUGAUUUCAUUUUGUUUGUACUGCUGGAGAUUUUCUUUAAUGUUCCGGUCUAUUAUCUUCUUUCUAUUACUACAUAAUUUUUGCCUUAAAUACUUUGCCACUUUUUUAGUUAUAUAUAUGGCCAACUGAUACUCUCUCUGUUCAAACAAGCCAACAUAAAAACCAUUCAGGUUAACAAAUUUAUAUUCAUAAGUUCCCUUUUGAUAAUUGCAACUCUGUUAUCUAUGCCAAUUCAUAGCUUAUCGUAUCCUAAAAAAGGUGAGUCGGGUAGUUCCCUUUUUAACAUGGCCAUUGUUUCUAGGUUUUGUUCAGUGAUAUGUAUCUAAGUAGCUGCCAGGAUGUAUUAGUUUGACCCAUGCACGACAUGCCAAUAUUAUCACCAUGCCUGCCAUUUCCUAGCUUGGUCUGUUUAAAUCGCCUUAUUCAUGUACUAUAGUAACAUUUAAAUAGUUGACAUCCAAUAAUUUGCAUACCUACAAUUCUGUUCUAAAGAUGACCAGUCUAUGUUGUUCUUUGUAACAAGAACAGAGUAGCACGUAUAGAAUGGAUAGAUGCUACGGGUAUAGCCAACCACUUCCAUUACACGCUGACGUAUUGCUGUGGUUGUGAUCUUUUAGGUUUUAGCUAUGGUCAGCUUCAACUUAUGCUUCAGAGUGAACCGUUGACCAUGACUGGUCAUGAUAAAUGGAUUAGCACUAUUGGCAAGGGUGAUUUCAGACCUAGCUCGGUUUAUAAGCAGCAUUUUCCUAAUAUUGAUAACCAUCCUCCCUCUUGCCUGAUUUGGAAAAGUAAAUGCAUGCCGAAGCAUAAAUUUUUUCUCUGCCUUAUUCCUCGUGAUAGAAUUAACACAAA